GGCAGUUGGAAUGGAACAUUCCUGCCUUGAAUGUUCUGCACUGCUUUGUCCACACCAGUUGAAGGUUUCUGGACUCCAGCCACAAUAACUCUUCCUCUUCCAGCUAAGUCUCGUCAUAAACAAUGCAUGUAUCAAGGAAGAAAAUGGAGAAAGAAUCAGAACUUUCCUCUUGGGAUAAAUGGGUUCGUUGGCUGAAUAGCUACAUGGCAGGUAGCAGAAAAUUAUGUGCACUGGAAUUUUCUAGCCAAAGGUUCAACACUGGCAGCUGACCUCUAGCCUGCUUUUUAAUGCCUCAGGCAAGUGACUUUCACUAUUUUCAAAGUGAAACUAUUCUGAUCUCCUGGCUAAAUGUUUGUUUGCUUGCU